GAUGAACGCUGGCGGCGUGCCUAAUACAUGCAAGUCGAGCGAACGGACGAGGAGCUUGCGUCUCUGAUGUUAGCGGCGGACGGGUGAGUAACACGUGGAUAACCUACCUAUAAGACUGGGAUAACUUCGGGAAACCGGAUCUAAUACCGGAUAAUAUUUUGAACCGCAGGGUUCAAAAGUGAAAGACGGUCUUGCUGUCACUUAUAGAUGGAUCCGCGCUGCAUUAGCUAGUUGGUAAGGUAACGGCUUACCAAGGCAACGAUGCAUAGCCGACCUGAGGGGGUGAUCGGCCACACUGGAACUGAGACACGGUCCAGACUCCUACGGGAGGCAGCAGUAGGGAAUCUUCCGCAAUGGGCGAAAGCCUGACGGAGCAACGCCGCGUGAGUGAUGAAGGUCUUCGGAUCGUAAAACUCUGUUAUUAGGGAAGAACAUAUGUGUAAGUAACUGUGCACAUCUUGACGGUACCUAAUCAGAAAGCCCCGGCUAACUACGUG
rnacentral:rRNA from 1 species